AAGGAGUCAGAGAUUUCCAACU
rnacentral:miRNA from 1 species